rnacentral:tRNA from 1 species
AGGAUAAUAGUUAAAUUAACAUUUAAUUUGCAUUUAAAAAAUAUUGAAAGAUCAAUUUAUCUUU